rnacentral:lncRNA from 1 species
AAACCCAACCUUCAUUCACGAAAUCAGAAACUCUUGAUCAAAACCGAUUGAACAUAAAACUCAAAAAUCCCAAAAUUUCAUUGAAACCCUAAAAUUUGUUUGAUUCUAGAACUCAAAAAUGAUUGAUUUGCUUCUUGAAAUCAAUUGAAAAUAUAAAACCCCUUUCACAAAAUCUAUUGAUUUGACAUCAAUGACACUCUCGAUGGUGUCUUUGACGUCUUUCCCCCCUCCUAUGUUCAUUUC